rnacentral:lncRNA from 1 species
CCCCAGACUUAUCUUUUACUCAUCCUCGAUGAAAAAGGAUAGAUAGAUUAUUUUAAUCAUAACCUCAAACCAAGACAUUACAGAUUUAUUCCAAGUCAUAUCUGUACUGCGAGAUUCAAAUUGUCUACCAUAAAAAUUUGGGAAGUUGAGGAUGGAACAGUACAAAAUAAAGUUCUCUUUUCCUUUAGCCCUGUCACUUGGAGUUUUAUAAUAUUUUUGCAAAGAAAAACUUAGCUUACCCUUCUCCAUCAUGUAGCACACUCAAAAUCACUCAUCAUAUGUGGUAUUUGUGGAACUCGCCAAAGUAGAUAGAUACAUCCUACUCUAUAUAGGCUUAUAUGGAGUUAAAGGUAAUUCAAGGAAAUAGCAUACUUACCAUGCAUAUCUUGCUAAGUCAAAACUCAGAUCCAUGCAGGGGAAUAGCAUACUCUUAGAUCAAGAAGUGCAUGUGUGUGGAAUAGUGGCUAAUCCUAAUUCUACAUUGCUAUUUUGGAAAUGUCUUUCUUUCUCUAAAGCACUAAUGGUCUUUGCACAGGAUGGUAUGGGCUAUCUUUUAUUCUUCUUUCUUUCUAGGACACUUGUCCUUUUUCUCUUUCUUUCUUUUCUUUUCUUUUUCAAUACUUAUAUUUUGCAAAGCCGCAAUACCUCCUUCUGUAACCAGAAAAUAUUGAGAAAGACUUUUUAAAGAACUUAGAGCAAAGCCACAUACCUCCUACUAAAACUCUUUUUGUGUUUUCUCCUAGUGUAGGAGUAAAAUAUUUUUAGUGAAUGGAAAGGCAUGUUUGUGCGCAUUCCCAGUGUAGGAAUGGUAGAUAUAUGUGGGUGUACGUGAUCUUGAUCUUCCUAGCCUGAUAAUUGUAACACCCUAGGUGUUAAGCAUGCGUUAAGUCUCAUAAAUCAUGCAUAAGCAUUCUCAUAAAGCAUGAGCGUGAGCAUUCCAUCAUAUGUGCAUAGUUAAACUAAAUAUGAUUUCAUGCGCAUAUUUUUGAAUAGAUUUAAUUGUGCUAAAAUACCAUGUUUGCUUUAAAAAUUUAUUGUGAUGCCCAAACUUGGUUGGUUUAUGUUUUAGAUGAAUUAAGAAUAAUUUUGUCAAAUUAUUGGAGCUCUAGAAAUUGAGAAAUUGAUUUUAUUCCAAAAAUCCCCAAAAAUGAAUUUACUUAAACCUAGAAAUAGUUUUAAUUGGUAAUUCAAAUUCUACUUAGAAUUUUGAGUUGCACCUUAAAGCAAAGUUGUAGAUAAUUUUAUUUUGAGCAAGUUUUGUUUUGGGGCAAGAUCUGAAAAUGACUUUUAAAAUCUUAAAAAUGUGUUUGAACAAUUAUUAGAAAAAGAAAAUAAAAAAAUAAAAAGGGAUCAGGGGGCUUAGCGGGCCGGCGCCUCGCUUCCGACCGACUGGACAAAGCCAGUCCGGCCACGCAACACCUUCCCCUCCCCCGCGCUUGCACCUGCACCGAGGUGGUGACGCCGUCAGGCCGCGCCGCGCCGCGUGGCGGCCAUGCGUGGCAGCAGCACCACGACGACGGCC